rnacentral:rRNA from 1 species
ACCCUAAUCAAAGCUCAACACCUCCGUAUGACAAAACCACCAAAAAUCACUCUUAACAAAACAUUCUAUCUGUUUAGUACAGGCGAAAAAAAAACAUCUCAGAAGCUUCAUAUUAAGUACCGCAAGGGAACAAUGAAAUACUAAUUAAACAUUCAAGUAAAAUAAAGCAAAGAUUAAACCUUGUACCUUUUGCAUCAUGGUCUAGCAAGUCUAAUUAAGCUAAAUGAGCUUAUGCUUAAACCCCCGAAACCCAGUGAGCUACUUCAGAACAGCCAUAGGGCCAACCCUCGUCUGUAGCAAAAGACCGGGAAGAUUCUCGAGUAGAGGCGACAAACCUAUCGAACUGGGAUAUAGCUGGUUACUAAGGAAAUGGAUUUUAGUUCAACCUAAAGCUUCAUUUGCCCCUUAUCAUUCCCCCCAAGCCUUAGAGUUAUUCAAAUAAGGAACAGCUUAUUUGAAAAAGGACACAACCUUCACAACAGGGUAACUCUUCAAUAAGAUAAACCAGUUGGCCUAAAAGCAGCCACCUAAAAUAGCGUUAAAGCUUCCUUCACUUUUCUCCCAAUCCCAAUACCAAAUAGAAACCCUUAACUAAUACUUAGUACUUCUAUAUACGUAUAGAAUUUAUUAUGCUAGAACUAGUAACAAGAAGAAGACCUUCUCCGAUAUGUAAGCUUACUCCAGAAUAAACAAAUUACUGGAUAUUACCGCCUUAGAACCACCAGCUUUAACACAUCAAGAAAAUCCCCCUAAACAAAGCGUUAAUCUUACACAAGAACAUACCAGGAAAAAUUAAAAGAAGAGGAAGGAACUCGGCAAAAUUAGUCCCGCCUGUUUACCAAAAACAUCGCCUCUUGCCAACCCAUAAGAGGUCUAGCCUGCCCAUUGAUAAAUUUAACGGCCGCGGUAUUCUGACCGUGCGAAGGUAGCACAAUCACUUGUCCUCUAAAUAGGGACUAGUAUGAACGGCAUCACGAGGACUUCACUGUCUCCCCCUUCUAAUUAGUGAAACUGAUCUCCCUGUGAAAAAGCAGGGAUUUACCUAUAAGACGAGAAGACCCCAUGGAGCUUUAAACCUAAGCUAAUUGUUCAACUUUUUCUCCACAAAACACAACAAACAUAGACUUUUGGUUUUUGGUUGGGGCAACCGCGGAGAAGAACCAACCCUCCGUAAUAGAAGAAUUUCCACUCUAAGCUCUGAAUAACCUCUCUAGUCAUCAAGAAUUUGAUAUUUUUGACCCAUCAAAAUGAAUGAGCAAUGAACCAAGUUACCCUGGGGAUAACAGCGCAAUCCAUUACUAGAGUUCAUAUCGACUUUUGGGUUUACGACCUCGAUGUUGGAUCAGGAUAUCCAAGUGGUGCAGCCGCUACUAAAGGUUCGUUUGUUCAACGAUUAAAAUCCU